CGAUUCUGGCUCAGGAUGGAACGCUAGCUACAGGCCUAACACAUGCAAGUCGAGGGGCAGCAGAUCGAAAGCUUGCUUUGAUGCUGGCGACCGGCGAAUGGGUGAGUCACGCGUGUCCAACCUGCCCCCCGCCCGGGGAUAGCCCUUGGAAAUGAGGAUUAAGACCCGAUAGGUGCGCCUUCCGCAUGGCGAGCGCAUGAAACUGGCGAGGGAUGGGGACGCGUCGGAUUAGCUUGACGGCGGGGCAACGGCCCACCGUGGCGACGAUCCGCAGGGGUUCUGAGAGGAAGGUCCCCCACACUGGCACUGAGACACGGGCCAGACUCCUACGGGAGGCAGCAGUGAGGAAUAUUGGUCAAUGGCCGAGAGGCUGAACCAGCCAAGUAGCGUGCAAGGAUGACGGCCCUACGGGUUGUAAACUGCUUUUGCGGGAGGAUAAAGUGCGCCACGCGUGGCGCUUUGCAGGUAUCCCGUGAAUAAGGACCGGCUAAUUCCGUGCCAGCAGCGGC
rnacentral:rRNA from 1 species